rnacentral:rRNA from 1 species
UACGUAGGGUGCGAGCGUUGUCCGGAAUUAUUGGGCGUAAAGGGCUCGUAGGCGGUUUGUCGCGUCGGGAGUGAAAACUCAGGGCUUAACCCUGAGCCUGCUUCCGAUACGGGCAGACUAGAGGUAUGCAGGGGAGAACGGAAUUCCUGGUGUAGCGGUGAAAUGCGCAGAUAUCAGGAGGAACACCGGUGGCGAAGGCGGAUCUCUGGGCCGUAACUGACGCUGAGGAGCGAAAGCAUGGGGAGCGAACAGG